GGGUUGUGAGGUUAAGCGACUAAGCGUACACGGUGGAUGCCCUGGCAGUCAGAGGCGAUGAAGGGCGUGCUAAUCUGCGAUAAGCGCCGGUAAGGUGAUAUGAACCGUUAUAACCGGCGAUACCCGAAUGGGGAAACCCAGUGUGACUCGUCACACUAUCAUUAACUGAAUCCAUAGGUUAAUGAGGCGAACCGGGGGAACUGAAACAUCUAAGUACCCCGAGGAAAAGAAAUCAACCGAGAUUCCCCAGUAGCGGCGAGCGAACGGGGAGGAGCCCAGAGCCUGAAUCAGCAUGUGUGUUAGUGGAAGCGUCUGGAAAGGCGCGCGAUACAGGGUGACAGCCCCGUACACAAAAGCGCAUGUGCUGUGAGCUCGAUGAGUAGGGCGGGACACGUGGUAUCCUGUCUGAAUAUGGGGGGACCAUCCUCCAAGGCUAAAUACUCCUGACUGACCGAUAGUGAACCAGUACCGUGAGGGAAAGGCGAAAAGAACCCCGGCGAGGGGAGUGAAAAAGAACCUGAAACCGUGUACGUACAAGCAGUGGGAGCACCCUUUGGGGUGUGACUGCGUACCUUUUGUAUAAUGGGUCAGCGACUUAUAUUCUGUAGCAAGGUUAACCGUAUAGGGGAGCCGUAGGGAAACCGAGUCUUAACCGGGCGUUAAGUUGCAGGGUAUAGACCCGAAACCCGGUGAUCUAGCCAUGGGCAGGUUGAAGGUUGGGUAACACUAACUGGAGGACCGAACCGACUAAUGUUGAAAAAUUAGCGGAUGACCUGUGGCUGGGGGUGAAAGGCCAAUCAAACCGGGAGAUAGCUGGUUCUCCCCGAAAGCUAUUUAGGUAGCGCCUCGUGAAUUCAUCUCCGGGGGUAGAGCACUGUUUCGGCUAGGGGGCCAUCCCGGCUUACCAACCCGAUGCAAACUGCGAAUACCGGAGAAUGUUAUCACGGGAGACACACGGCGGGUGCUAACGUCCGUCGUGAAGAGGGAAACAACCCAGACCGCCAGCUAAGGUCCCAAAGUCAUGGUUAAGUGGGAAACGAUGUGGGAAGGCCCAGACAGCCAGGAUGUUGGCUUAGAAGCAGCCAUCAUUUAAAGAAAGCGUAAUAGCUCACUGGUCGAGUCGGCCUGCGCGGAAGAUGUAACGGGGCUAAACCAUGCACCGAAGCUGCGGCAGCGACGCUGAUGCGUUGUUGGGUAGGGGAGCGUUCUGUAAGCCUGCGAAGGUGACCUGUGAGGGUUGCUGGAGGUAUCAGAAGUGCGAAUGCUGACAUAAGUAACGAUAAAGCGGGUGAAAAGCCCGCUCGCCGGAAGACCAAGGGUUCCUGUCCAACGUUAAUCGGGGCAGGGUGAGUCGACCCCUAAGGCGAGGCCGAAAGGCGUAGUCGAUGGGAAACGGGUUAAUAUUCCCGUACUUGGUGUUACUGCGAAGGGGGGACGGAGAAGGCUAUGUUGGCCGGGCGACGGUUGUCCCGGUUUAAGCGUGUAGGUGUGUGUUCCAGGUAAAUCCGGUUCACUUUAACACUGAGGCGUGAUGACGAGGCACUACGGUGCUGAAGCAACAAAUGCCCUGCUUCCAGGAAAAGCCUCUAAGCAUCAGGUAACAUCAAAUCGUACCCCAAACCGACACAGGUGGUCAGGUAGAGAAUACCAAGGCGCUUGAGAGAACUCGGGUGAAGGAACUAGGCAAAAUGGUGCCGUAACUUCGGGAGAAGGCACGCUGACACGUAGGUGAAGUGAUUUACUCACGGAGCUGAAGUCAGUCGAAGAUACCAGCUGGCUGCAACUGUUUAUUAAAAACACAGCACUGUGCAAACACGAAAGUGGACGUAUACGGUGUGACGCCUGCCCGGUGCCGGAAGGUUAAUUGAUGGGGUCAGCGCAAGCGAAGCUCCUGAUCGAAGCCCCGGUAAACGGCGGCCGUAACUAUAACGGUCCUAAGGUAGCGAAAUUCCUUGUCGGGUAAGUUCCGACCUGCACGAAUGGCGUAAUGAUGGCCAGGCUGUCUCCACCCGAGACUCAGUGAAAUUGAACUCGCUGUGAAGAUGCAGUGUACCCGCGGCAAGACGGAAAGACCCCGUGAACCUUUACUAUAGCUUGACACUGAACAUUGAGCCUUGAUGUGUAGGAUAGGUGGGAGGCUUUGAAGUGUGGACGCCAGUCUGCAUGGAGCCGACCUUGAAAUACCACCCUUUAAUGUUUGAUGUUCUAACGUGGACCCGUUACCCGGGUUGCGGACAGUGUCUGGUGGGUAGUUUGACUGGGGCGGUCUCCUCCUAAAGAGUAACGGAGGAGCACGAAGGUUGGCUAAUCCUGGUCGGACAUCAGGAGGUUAGUGCAAUGGCAUAAGCCAGCUUGACUGCGAGCGUGACGGCGCGAGCAGGUGCGAAAGCAGGUCAUAGUGAUCCGGUGGUUCUGAAUGGAAGGGCCAUCGCUCAACGGAUAAAAGGUACUCCGGGGAUAACAGGCUGAUACCGCCCAAGAGUUCAUAUCGACGGCGGUGUUUGGCACCUCGAUGUCGGCUCAUCACAUCCUGGGGCUGAAGUAGGUCCCAAGGGUAUGGCUGUUCGCCAUUUAAAGUGGUACGCGAGCUGGGUUUAGAACGUCGUGAGACAGUUCGGUCCCUAUCUGCCGUGGGCGCUGGAGAACUGAGGGGGGCUGCUCCUAGUACGAGAGGACCGGAGUGGACGCAUCACUGGUGUUCGGGUUGUCAUGCCAAUGGCACUGCCCGGUAGCUAAAUGCGGAAGAGAUAAGUGCUGAAAGCAUCUAAGCACGAAACUUGCCCCGAGAUGAGUUCUCCCUGAGACUUAAAGUCUCCUGAAGGAACGUUGAAGACGACGACGUUGAUAGGCCGGGUGUGUAAGCGCAGCGAUGCGUUGAGCUAACCGGUACUAAUGAACCGUGAGGCUUAACCUUACAACGCCGAAG
rnacentral:rRNA from 1 species